rnacentral:rRNA from 1 species
CCUACGGGUGGCUGCAGUGGGGAAUAUUGGGCAAUGGGCGCAAGCCUGACCCAGCAACGCCGCGUGAGGGAAGAAGGCUUUCGGGUUGUAAACUUCUUUUCUGCGGGACGAAGAAAGUGACAGUACCUCAGGAAUAAGCCACGGCUAACUACGUGCCAGCAGCCGCGGUAAUACGGAGGUGGCAAGCGUUAUCCGGAUUUAUUGGGUGUAAAGGGCGUGUAGGCGGGAAGGGAAGUCUGAUGUGAAAACUCAGGGAUCAACCCUGGGCCUGCAUUUGAAACUGUUUUUCUUGAGUGCUGGAGAGGCAAUCGGAAUUCCGUGUGUAGCGGUGAAAUGCGUAGAUAUACGGAGGAACACCAGUGGCGAAGGCGGAUUGCUGGACAGUAACUGACGCUGAGGCGCGAAAGCGUGGGGAGCAAACAGGAUUAGAUACCCGUGUAGUC